rnacentral:rRNA from 1 species
GAAUCUGCCUGGUAGUGGGGGAUAACGUUCGGAAACGGACGCUAAUACCGCAUACGUCCUACGGGAGAAAGCAGGGGACCUUCGGGCCUUGCGCUAUCAGAUGAGCCUAGGUCGGAUUAGCUAGUUGGUGGGGUAAUGGCUCACCAAGGCGACGAUCCGUAACUGGUCUGAGAGGAUGAUCAGUCACACUGGAACUGAGACACGGUCCAGACUCCUACGGGAGGCAGCAGUGGGGAAUAUUGGACAAUGGGCGAAAGCCUGAUCCAGCCAUGCCGCGUGUGUGAAGAAGGUCUUCGGAUUGUAAAGCACUUUAAGUUGGGAGGAAGGGCCGUUACCUAAUACGUGAUGGUUUUGACGUUACCGACAGAAUAAGCACCGGCUAACUCUGUGCCAGCAGCCGCGGUAAUACAGAGGGUGCAAGCGUUAAUCGGAAUUACUGGGCGUAAAGCGCGC